rnacentral:rRNA from 1 species
AAAGCUUAACUAUUACAACCCCAAAUUACUAAAACAUACACUAACCCCUCAUUCCUACUGAACCCACUUAUAUUUUUAUAAAGACGAUUAUGCUAGAACUAGUAACAAGAACUUGCCAUUCUCCACAAUGUAAACUUAAACCAAAACGGACACUCCAUUGGUAAUCAACGUAAAUGCAACACCAUAACAACACAAACCAGAAAACCUUAUGGUUACCACACGUUACCCUAACACUAGGACAUUAUAGGAAAGAUUAAAAGAAAGGGAAGGAACUCGGCAAAUUUUAGCCCCGCCUGUUUACCAAAAACAUCGCCUCCUGAUUAAACAUAAGAGGUCCAGCCUGCCCAGUGAUAACAUUCAACGGCCGCGGUAUUCUGACCGUGCGAAGGUAGCAUAAUCACUUGUUCCUUAAAUAGGGACUAGUAUCAACGGCAUCACGAGGGCUAUACUGUCUCCCCCCUCCAAUCAGUGAAACUGAUCCCCCCGUGAAGAAGCGGGGAUUUAAUUAUAAGACGAGAAGACCCCAUGGAGCUUUAAACCCAACAUACACCCCAUCGCUAAAACAUCAACUAAGCCUCGAGGGCCUGUACGUUGGUUUUAGGCUGGGGGGACCACGGAGCAAAAUCAAACCUCCACAACAAAUGGGCUAAAACCCUUAUCCACGAUUUACAAAUCUAAGAAUCAUCAAAAUGAUGUUUAAUGACCCGAUAAUUCGAUCAAUGAACCAAGUUACCCUGGGGAUAACAGCGCAAUCCACUCCAAGAGCCCAUAUCGACAAGUGGGUUUACGACCUCGAUGUUGGAUCAGGGUAUCCUAGUGGUGCAGCCGCUACUAAAGGUUCGUUUGUUCAACGAUUAAAA